AGAGUUUGAUUAUGGCUCAGAACGAACGCUGGCGGCGCGUUUUAAGCAUGCAAGUCGAGCGGCAAGGGUCUUCGGGCCCCUAGAGCGGCGGACGGGUGAGUAACACGUGGACAAUCUGCCCCCCGGCCGGGGAUAGCCCAGGGAAACCUGGAUUAAUACCGGAUGAGACGGGACCCGCGGAGGCGGGAUCCGGGAAAGGCGCUGCGGCGCCGCCGGGGGAUGAGUCUGCGUCCCAUUAGCUUGACGGCGGGGUAACGGCCCACCGUGGCGACGAUGGGUAGCCGGCCUGAGAGGGUGGACGGCCACAUUGGAACUGAGACACGGUCCAGACUCCUACGGGAGGCAGCAGCUAAGAAUCUUCCGCAAUGGGCGAAAGCCUGACGGAGCGACGCCGCGUGAACGAAGAAGGCCGUGAGGUUGUAAAGUUCUUUUCGGGAGGGGGAACAACCGUGGCAGGGAAUGGCCGCGGGAUGACGUGAAUCCCGGAAUAAGCCCCGGCUAACUACGUGCCAGCAGCCGCGGCAACACGUAGGGGGCGAGCGUUGUUCGGAAUCAUUGGGCGUAAAGGGCGUGCAGGCGGUCCUGCAAGUCCGGCGUGAAAGACCCCGGCCCAACCGGGGGGGCGCGCUGGAAACUGCAGGGCUUGAGUACAGGAGGGGAUGCCGGAAUUCCAGGUGUAGGGGUGAAAUCUGUAGAUAUCUGGAGGAACACCAAUGGCGAAGGCAGGCAUCUGGCCAUGUACUGACGCUGAGACGCGAAGGUGCGGGGAGCAAACAGGAUUAGAUACCCUGGUAGUC
rnacentral:rRNA from 1 species